rnacentral:lncRNA from 1 species
ACGGCCGGACCCCGGGACCUUCUCUCGAGGAGAUUUCCAUUUGAUCCGAGAGCUGCACAUAUAAGAGACUUGCUGGCAGCAUGGACCUCAGUGAAAAAUGGCCUUUGGAGGAAGGGACCUGGCUGUCUCAUGCUGGAAUUCAUCACUUUGCCAACGGCAGAGGGGACAGUGAGUUUGUGGAAGCCUCCCCUGCGCCCUACAGCCCGGAGGAGUUAGUUCCCUUCUCUGUGAGAACUGGCCAUUUCCUGGCGCGUGUGCUUUGGGGGUGGUAGGGAAAGUGUCAGCUUUUCCGUGUGUGUGUGUGUGUGUGUGUGUGUGUGUGUACGGGUCUGUGUUGCUGCUCUGAGGAGCGAGGCACAGCAAACUUCCGAUCUGGGGCCUCUGAGAACAGCGGGACUCAUCCUGCCUGGAAGGACCCCGGCGGGGCUGGCUCUGCCUAGCCAGUUCCUGGCACAAGAAGGGCAUCGUGUGGAUUAGUCCUUAACCUGAAUUGAAUGGAGUUCUGGGCCAAAAAAACGGUCCAGUAAUUAACAUGUCAGGACCUAGGAACUGCGUUCUUCCCAGAUUUCAGCUUCAGGUGUCUGGGAAUAGCGCAUUUCAUCCUCAUCUGCCUGUCAUUCUAAGUGUAGAUUUGUGGCGGGUGAAUGGUGACACUCUGGUCAGAGACAGGCUUCCUUGUGUGAAGAGGAAGAAAUCUGCAUUGUCAGGAUCCCUCUAAGUCUUCCUGCCACCCAGUCUCACUUGGUGGCUUAGCGGUUGGUGGUUUUUGUUUAUUUUUCUCACUCUCUGGGUUUAGUUAAGCUGCUGACAAUCUGGGCUGUCAAGUCUGUCCUUGCUGUUCUUUUAUCACCAGCUUGAACAUCUUGCCUUCCUUCCAUGAAAUGACAGCUGUUUAAAAAUGUUUAUCCACAGUAAGGCUCUCAGCCUUGGGUACCUUGUGUCUGGUCAACCCCCUCCUCCUGGGCUGUGUGUCCUCAGCAAGUCCUGUGGCACCUGAAGGAAGCACAAUUCCAUUGCAGUGACUUCCAUGCAUUUCUAGGAGCCAGACACUCAAUAUAGGUCUAGUUCAAGGAGGACCCUUCUGAGGUAGGGAAGAGGACCUCGUUUUAUUCAGAAGAUGUGUUUCUGACAAGUUGUGAAGCACUGGCAUCUCUGGAAAUGGCAUCAUAAAUUAAAUGCAUGAGCAAAACUAGCUUUUAAAGGUAUGCCAGGGUGAGUCCUUUCAUGAAAUGAAAAUGACAUCUAAACCGUAGCUGUGCAUGAAGUGACUUAAUAAGAGAACCAGUUCUUGAUGAUCUGCUCCGUGCGUGUUUAAUUGUGCAUUAAUGAGAGUGGCACUGGUGCUCCGAGGUGUGACAGAAGCUGUUUGGUCCUCUUGAAUUAUAGACAAAGCAUAAGCCAUGGCAGAAUGAGCAUUGCUUGCCCUGAGAAACCACCCGUAUAACUACCUAAUUGUUUGCAUUCAUACAAUGAUUUAUGUACCAGAAAGGCCCCGGCGGCUGACCUGCUUUCCAUUCCAUCUCUACCCCGGGGUCUAAGAGACCGGACUGCCCAGCUGGGCUCUGAUCAGUAGGGGGAGCCCUGCAGAUGAGCAGGAGGAAAUCAAAAAGCAACCUUUUUUCUCUUCCAGUUUCUCAUAAGAAGGUGAGAGUGUUAUAGGAAUCGUGGGUUUCCCUCCUGGUCUCUGGGAUGACAGGAUGAUUGAGAAUGUAAAAUACAAGUCAGACUUUGAGACCAGGGUUCUCCCUACUUUAGUUUUCUUAGUAGAGAUGUUAACCAGUCUAGUUUCUCAUCUUUGAAAAGCUGGGAUUUGGAGUUCCCAUUGUGGUGCAGCGGAAAGGAAUCUGACUAGGAACCAUGAGGUUGCGGGUUCCAUCCCUGGCCUCAUUCAGUGGGUUGAGGAUCUGGCAUUGCCAUGAGCUAUGGUGGAGGUUGCAGAUGCGGCUUGGGUCUGGCGUUGCUGCUGCUCUGGCGUCGGCCAGUGGCUACAGCUUGGAUUGGACCCCUAGCCUGGGAACCUCCAUAUGCCUAUGCUGC